rnacentral:rRNA from 1 species
AUUGAACGCUGGCGGCAUGCCUUACACAUGCAAGUCGAACGGCAGCAUGACGUGUAGCGAUACACGUUGAUGGCGAGUGGCGAACGGGUGAGUAAUAUAUCGGAACGUGCCCUGUAGCGGGGGAUAGCCCGGCGAAAGCCGGAUUAAUACCGCAUACGCUCUACGGAGGAAAGCGGGGGUCGCAAGACCUCGCACUAUAGGAGCGGCCGAUAUCGGAUUAGCUAGUUGGCGGGGUAAAAGCCCACCAAGGCGACGAUCCGUAGCUGGUCUGAGAGGAUGAUCAGCCACACUGGAACUGAGACACGGUCCAGACUCCUACGGGAGGCAGCAGUGGGGAAUUUUGGACAAUGGGCGCAAGCCUGAUCCAGCCAUGCCGCGUGAGUGAAGAAGGCCUUCGGGUUGUAAAGCUCUUUCGGCAGGAACGAAAUGGUCCGUGCUAAUACCACGGACUGAUGACGGUACCUGAAGAAGAAGCACCGGCUAACUACGUGCCAGCAGCCGCAGUAACAC